ACGCUGGCGGCAGGCCUAACACAUGCAAGUCGAGCGGUAGCACAGAGAGCUUGCUCUCGGGUGACGAGCGGCGGACGGGUGAGUAAUGUCUGGGAAACUGCCUGAUGGAGGGGGAUAACUACUGGAAACGGUAGCUAAUACCGCAUAAUGUCGCAAGACCAAAGUGGGGGACCUUCGGGCCUCAUGCCAUCAGAUGUGCCCAGAUGGGAUUAGCUAGUAGGUGGGGUAACGGCUCACCUAGGCGACGAUCCCUAGCUGGUCUGAGAGGAUGACCAGCCACACUGGAACUGAGACACGGUCCAGACUCCUACGGGAGGCAGCAGUGGGGAAUAUUGCACAAUGGGCGCAAGCCUGAUGCAGCCAUGCCGCGUGUGUGAAGAAGGCCUUCGGGUUGUAAAGCACUUUCAGCGGGGAGGAAGGCGGUAAGGUUAAUAACCUCAUCGAUUGACGUUACCCGCAGAAGAAGCACCGGCUAACUCCGUGCCAGCAGCCGCGGUAAUACGGAGGGUGCAAGCGUUAAUCGGAAUUACUGGGCGUAAAGCGCACGCAGGCGGUCUGUCAAGUCGGAUGUGAAAUCCCCGGGCUCAACCUGGGAACUGCAUUCGAAACUGGCAGGCUAGAGUCUUGUAGAGGGGGGUAGAAUUCCAGGUGUAGCGGUGAAAUGCGUAGAGAUCUGGAGGAAUACCGGUGGCGAAGGCGGCCCCCUGGACAAAGACUGACGCUCAGGUGCGAAAGCGUGGGGAGCAAACAGGAUUAGAUACCCUGGUAGUCCACGCCGUAAACGAUGUCGAUUUGGAGGUUGUGCCCUUGAGGCGUGGCUUCCGGAGCUAACGCGUUAAAUCGACCGCCUGGGGAGUACGGCCGCAAGGUUAAAACUCAAAUGAAUUGACGGGGGCCCGCACAAGCGGUGGAGCAUGUGGUUUAAUUCGAUGCAACGCGAAGAACCUUACCUGGUCUUGACAUCCACAGAACUUUCCAGAGAUGGAUUGGUGCCUUCGGGAACUGUGAGACAGGUGCUGCAUGGCUGUCGUCAGCUCGUGUUGUGAAAUGUUGGGUUAAGUCCCGCAACGAGCGCAACCCUUAUCCUUUGUUGCCAGCGGUCCGGCCGGGAACUCAAAGGAGACUGCCAGUGAUAAACUGGAGGAAGGUGGGGAUGACGUCAAGUCAUCAUGGCCCUUACGACCAGGGCUACACACGUGCUACAAUGGCAUAUACAAAGAGAAGCGACCUCGCGAGAGCAAGCGGACCUCAUAAAGUAUGUCGUAGUCCGGAUUGGAGUCUGCAACUCGACUCCAUGAAGUCGGAAUCGCUAGUAAUCGUAGAUCAGAAUGCUACGGUGAAUACGUUCCCGGGCCUUGUACACACCGCCCGUCACACCAUGGGAGUGGGUUGCAAAAGAAGUAGGUAGCUUAACCUUCGGGAGGGCGCUUACCACUUUGUGAUUCAUGACUGGGGUGAAGUCGUAACAAGGUAACCGUAGGGGAACCUGCG
rnacentral:rRNA from 1 species